CCGAUGAGGUGGAAACGGACAGAGCUGGCGUAUCUGGCUUGCAUUCAGCCGCUGCGCGUCGGGCCCCGGUUUGCCGCACUCCAGAUUGGGAAGGUGGCUGGGCUGCUGGCGUGCUGGUGGUGCAUUUGCAGGUGGAGUGCGCCGAGGCGCCCGGUUCAGCGGCAUGAGCUCGGCUUUGAGGCCAGUCGCGCAAGCGGUCUGGUACCCGGGUCGGGGGAGUGUUGUUUGGGCUGGGUGUUCGCUUGGGCACAGGUUUCGGGCCCGUGUAGGUGCCGAGCUGGCGGUCGGCGGCGGUCGCGUGCGACACGUGCCAGCAGUCAGUUCGGUCCUGCUCGAGCUCUCUCGUGUCCGGCCUCGGUGUAAAAGCCGGUCAUCUGUCCGACCCGUCUUGAAACACGGACCAAGGAGUUUAGCGUGUGCGCGAGUCAUUGGGUGUUGAAAACCCAGAGGCGUAAUGAAAGUGAAGGUCUGCCUUGUGCAGCUGAUGUGUGAUCCUGGGCGCCGCGGCGUCCGGGCGCAACAUAGUCCCGUCCCGACUGCAUGCAGUGGGGCGGAGACAGAGCGUACGCGCUGAG
rnacentral:rRNA from 1 species